AUGUUGUUCAAAAAUGAAGGGCACAAUGCUAAUGUUGUCCACUCGAUGGCGCCACAGGACAGCAAAUACUUCAAGAUCUGUUCAAAGACUUGUUUCAUUUAUGUAAAUAAAUCAAAAAUGCAUAUACAUUCAUUCUUUUUUUUCAUAAACUUUAAUAAAGCCCAAUAUAGUAAUUAUGCAAAAACUAUCAUCUCCGAAAUACCAUUACGUUUUUUUAUCUUAUUUUAAUAGUAUUGACAACAUAUUUCUCAAGUUAUCACGCAUUACUGAAAAAAAGUGAAGAAGGGACACUAUAUUUGUUAUCUAUUUUCAUGUUGUGCGUAUAAAAAUUUACUUGAAAAGAGACACGUCCAUUGUUUAACUGCAUCAUCUACACAAACCAUUGUGCUUGGACCCCUUAUGAUCACCUGGACUUAAACCACAUUGUUUCAGUUACCUUCUGUGUCUUUGGCCACAACGCUUCAGUGACAGGAAUGUGAAAUAGCAAACAGGGGAACAAAUAAAAGGCAUGACUUUAUUUGCAUCCAGCUAGCCAACUCUAUUACAGGUGUUCCACAGCCAAGACUCUUAUUAGAAUAGAAAAUAGCAAGGGUUCGAAUAAAUAGUUUAUUAAUCAUUUAAUUUCACUUUCUUAAUGAAUAUUGUUCUGUGUAUGUGAUUUCAAAGUCUUGAUGCUUCGGAUUAACCCGUUAAUUGCCGUAUCCCUUAAAACCUGAGUGCCAGAGGAUUACUGUAAAUGCAUGUGCCCGCUGGGCACAGUUUACCUGAUGCCACCGGGGUGGCAUUUGCGCUGAUGGCUUGAGCCCGCCAUCGCUGCUUGCAGCUAUAUUUUUAUUUUAUUAUUAUGGUCCCCUAGGUGCAAUUAUAGUAUUACUAUAGUUUUUAAAAAAAAAAAAAAAACUUUUAAAAUGUAGUGAAUUAUGACAUUUUCCCACCCUGUUUCUCAUCCUUUGAUUUAAACAGUCUGUUUUUGGGUUGUUUCCCCUUUAAGAGUUCAGUGUUAUCGCCCAUUGUUAUGAUUGGCUAACGACAGUGCCCAUGGAUCAAUUAUUAACACCCCCAGCCAGAACAUUUAUGGAUUGAGCGUAACUGUUUAGUAGCGGGUGAUGCAUUCGACGCGAUGGCUCUUGCAAUGAUAAAACCUUAUAUGUUUGAGCACAUCUGCGUGGCAUUGUAAUUUUCCUGUACACAGACCCACUCGCUGUCCGUCGACUGAACACUUGUGAGGCGCGGCGCGACAACGAUACGAAAUGAGCGUAGUUGUCUUGUGCUGGAGGCGGUCAUAUGCAAAUGGUUGGAACGUCACUUCGCACCGUGACGUCACUUCUUACCAUGGAUCCAGAACGAGCUGUAUUUAGAGCUUGAUUAAAUAAAUGGCUCGUUUAUAAUGGGGAGGACGUCUUAAGCUAUGAAACUUGCAGGACGUUUUAAUGGUACAAAGACCUCUUAUAUUCCAAAAGAUCAAGGCAAAUUUGGUUUCUCAUUUCAUGACCCCUGUAAUGUCUUCAGGAUCGCUUGAAAAUUAAAGGUAGGUGUGACUGAUUAGAGUUGGAGCUGAACUUUGCAGGAGAGUCGAUCACCAGGAACAGGAUUGGGCACACUUACUUUAGCAGUUUGGAUUUAAGGGAUACAGCAAUGAAAGGGUUAAUCCAAACCAUCAAGAGACACACACAACACAAUAUAUAAAACUUGAGUAACACUUCCAAUAAGGUUUCAGUUAUUAACAUUAAUUAUAUUAAAUUACAUUAACAACAACUGUAUGGCAUUUAUUAAUGUGAGUCUCUCUCUGUCUUUCUCACACACUCACUUACACACAAUCACACACACACACACACACAAAGAAAUUAUUAUUAUUAUUAUUAUUAUUAUUAUUAUUAUUAUUAUUAUUAUUAUUGUAACACUUUUCAAUAAGGAUUUAGUUUUUAACAUUAUAUAAGUUAACAAGUACAUCAUUUAUAUAGCAUUUAUGGAUCUUAGUUAAUAUUAUGUUCAAAAUGGAUUACUACAUUAUUAAUUAAAAUUUAUAGUUAAUGUACAUCAGUUACUAUACCAUGAUUUAACAUAUUAAUUUACUA
ensembl:lncRNA